CUUGACUUAACCAUAAGAGGUCCAGCCUGCCCAGUGACAUUGUUCAACGGCCGCGGUAUUCUAACCGUGCGAAGGUAGCGUAAUCACUUGUCCUUUAAAUGAGGACUAGUAUGAACGGCCACACGAAAGCUAUGCUGUCUCCUUUUUCUAAUCAGUUAAACUAAUCUCCCCGUGAAGAAGCGGGGAUGAUUAUAUAAGACGAGAAGACCCUAUGGAGCUUUAAACAAUUGAAACACUUGUACCCAUCUUCCACACUUCCGACAGCCUACGCUUAAUUUUACACUUUGUUUCUAGCUUUAGGUUGGGGUGACCACGGAGAAAAAACAAACCUCCACGCUGAAAGAGUUAAUCUCUAAACAAAAAGCUACAUCUUUAAGUAUUAAUACAUUAACCUGAAUUGACCCAAUAAAUUGAUCAACGAAC
rnacentral:rRNA from 1 species